rnacentral:rRNA from 1 species
AACGCGAAGAACCUUACCUACCCUUGACAUGUACGGAAGCCGGAUGAGAGUUCGGUGUGCCCGAAAGGGAGCCGUAACACAGGUGCUGCAUGGCUGUCGUCAGCUCGUGUCGUGAGAUGUUGGGUUAAGUCCCGCAACGAGCGCAACCCUUGUCACUAGUUGCUACGCAAGGGCACUCUAGUGAGACUGCCGGUGACAAACCGGAGGAAGGUGGGGAUGACGUCAAGUCCUCAUGGCCCUUAUGGGUAGGGCUUCACACGUCAUACAAUGGCGCAUACAGAGGGCUGCCAACCCGCGAGGGGGAGCCAAUCCCAGAAAGUGCGUCGUAGUCCGGAUUGCAGUCUGCAACUCGACUGCAUGAAGUCGGAAUCGCUAGUAAUCGCGGAUCAGCAAUGUCGCGGUGAAUACGUUCCCGGGUCUUGUACACACCG